rnacentral:lncRNA from 1 species
CAUGCAAAUGUAUUUAAUAAGGUGACUGAGUUACAGAAAGAGAAGAGCAAGAGGAAGAUUUCAAGGUUCCCCAGAGCACUGAAAGUAGUGGACUAAUGAAGAACAAAAGUGAGUAUGUCAUCUGAGUAUGCAGAGAACAUCACGAUUUUCUGUCCCUAUCUGGGUAAUCAUCUCCAGGCUGAUUAGUGUCCUUCCUCAAGAAAUGACACAAAUAUUAAGUCCAACAUCGGCAUUGAGGCAUGGCCUGGGUCUUCUCCAUUUCAGAGUCAUUGGUGGAAGAGUCAUCCAGAAACCCCAUGACAAGAUGAGUAAGACAGUGCUGAAAAGGAGUCCCCUGGAAACCCUUCGGAUGCUGUGUUCUGGAAGCCUUUAAAAGGUACAAUGAAGAAUUCCUUCAAACCUAAGAACACUGCAUCCUGAAGGGUAAGAUGCAACAUAGUUUUAAUGGUACUAUGCCUUUAUGUUAUGAGGUACAGUCCUUUUUUCACUUGAGUACUCUCUCUUUCCUUGCAGAGUUGAAUCUGCAAAGAUGCUACUUCUCUUAGCAGGAGCUGUGCAUUGCGCACAGAUAAGUUGAAACCCUGACCCAAAAAAAAAAAAAAAUUAUCAUCAAUGGAAAAUUAGUUUUGGUAUAACUGAAAAGAUGGUUAUUCCACCAUCGAUACUAUGCACGGUGUGGCACAUAGAUGUUUCUUUGUUGCUGAUUGGUACAAAAUAUGUAAGGCCUGGUUUAGUACAAUACUGCAGUUUAAUUCUGUGUUUGAAGAGAUUACAUUUUUUAUGUUGAGACAUUUAGACAUUUACUUGAUGUGGAUGUUUUCCAAAAGCUAAGAUGAAAUAAUGAAAAAUGAUUUUCCCAAUCUAGUGCAACUGUUGUAAGAAAUAUAACAGCUGGUGAUCUACAGUUCAGUGACAGAUGAACAGACUGAUCUAUUCACCUGCAGAGUGCAGAUAAAAAUUAAUAAGAAAAGGAGAAGUUAAAUAGUAAAUCAACAAAAGGGAGAAGGUGAAAGAUGUGCAGCAAUAUAUUCUUGUGUAAUUAAGUUAGAAAUUCUGAUUAGCGAUUAAAAGAAAAGGUGAGAUUGAAGGAGUUAGAGCAAAAAUUUGGUAAAAUGAGCUAAGACUACAGUUGAUAAGAGAAGAGCUCAAUUUGUGCACUUCUUAGGAGUCAUUUCCUUACAAACUUACUUGCAG